ACAACAACAUUCGGACCGUCGGUCUACCGAGCAAUGUCACCCGCUCGGUGGAAGAUCUUCCCUUUGUCGUUCAGC
rnacentral:pre_miRNA from 1 species